rnacentral:tRNA from 1 species
GGAAACGUGCCCGAAAGNCUAGGGAACUCCUUGAUGGGGAGAACCACAGAGGUUUAAGUCCUCUCGCUUCCUUA